ACAGAAAGGCCUGAGCUUGGACAAGGCUACCCACUGAAUUUAAGCAUAUUACUAAGUGGAGGAAAAGAAACUAACAAGGAUUCCCAUAGUACGGGGCGAGUGAACA
rnacentral:rRNA from 1 species